GACAGAGGGUGCAAACGUUGUUCGGAAUUACUGGGCGUAAAGCGCGUGUAGGCUGCUCGGAAAGUCGGAUGUGAAAGCCCUGGGCUCAACCCAGGAAGAGCAUUCGAAACUCCCGAGCUUGAGUCCCGGAGAGGAAGGCGGAAUUCUCGGUGUAGAGGUGAAAUUCGUAGAUAUCGAGAGGAACACCUGUGGCGAAGGCGGCCUUCUGGACGGUGACUGACGCUGAGGAGCGAAAGCGUGGGUAGCAAACAGG
rnacentral:rRNA from 1 species